UCCAGCUCCUAACCGCGAGUGAUCUGC
rnacentral:piRNA from 1 species